UCUCAGUUCGGAUCGAAGUCUGCAACCCGACUUCGUGAAGCUGGAUUCGCUAGUAAUCGCGCAUCAGCCAUGGCGCGGUGAAUACGUUCCCGGGCCUUGUACACACCGCCCGUCAAGCCAUGAAAGCCGGGGGUACCUGAAGUACGUAACCGCAAGGAUCGUCCUAGGGUAAAACUGGUAAUUGGGGCUAAGUCGUAACAAGGUACC
rnacentral:rRNA from 1 species